rnacentral:rRNA from 1 species
AGAGCGAACGCUGGCGGCAGGCCUAAAACAUGCAAGUCGAACGGAUCCUUCGGGAUUAGUGGCGGACGGGUGAGUAACACGUGGGAACGUGCCUUUUGGUUCGGAACAACUCAGGGAAACUUGAGCUAAUACCGAAUGUGCCCUUCGGGGGAAAGAUUUAUCGCCAUUAGAGCGGCCCGCGUCUGAUUAGCUAGUUGGUAGGGUAAAGGCCUACCAAGGCUACGAUCGGUAGCUGGUCUGAGAGGAUGAUCAGCCACACUGGGACUGAGACACGGCCCAGACUCCUACGGGAGGCAGCAGUUAGGAAUCUUGCGCAAUGGGCGAAAGCCUGACGCAGCCAUGCCGCGUGAAUGAUGAAGGUCUUAGGAUUGUAAAAUUCUUUCAGCGGGGACGAUAAUGACGGUACCCGCAGAAGAAGCUCCGGCUAACUUCGUGCCAGCAGCCGC